CCCUAGCUGCAAUACUCAGGGAACAUCCCCACCAUGCCAUACUAGAGUGGAUUUUAUCAAAUUUCUUUUAUAGGAGCAUGCUUCCCAAUACCAAGAUGUUAGUUUAUGUUGCUUGUGGGGGAUAUUACAACAUGCUACUAGCUAGUUGAAAGCCUUGAAAUAAUUGAGGUCAUGACAAAAAGUAGUAGUGGUGCACAAUUUAAUAGGAACCAAAGAUGAGGAUUUAGUGAAGUAGGGAGACUCUAAAUGUCAUUUUGGCUCAAAAUAAGCUUAUAUACUAACCAAUAUGGUGUGACAUGAUUGACAAAUAUCCUUGAGCAUUAAGCAUGAGUUAGUGGUUCGAUCUCCAAGUACUUGUAUAUGAAAAAAUAUCUCUUGAAAAAGUUUAAUUCCUCAAAUAGAUCUUGUGGUACCUCAAACUAUUAGUUGUUGUCUCUCACUUGGGGCAUAUCCUGAGUCCGCCCAAAAAACUAAGCCUAUAUUCCAACAAAUACAAUUGUGACAAUGUUUCAGUAGCAAGAAUUCAGUCACUUAGUUGUUUAGUGACCAAAUUUACUCACUUCAGCUAUAAAAUUGGGUCCAACUUCUUGGACUAUUGGAUCCCCAUGGAACAACAACUCAAGACAGUUCCCUCUGGCAUUCAGGACUAAGAGAAACUUGAAGUUCUUAGCAUCUAGUUUAUGCCAACUGAAUUUCAGCAGAGCAUUGCUCCCAAUGGAGGACAAGAACAUUGGAUGAUCCAACAUUUGUCCUAUGUACGAACUAUUAUACUGGAAUAUAUAAAAUUUUGGGAAUUUGCCAGAAAAAGUUUAGAUGCCCUAGAGCAUCCAGGUUUAACCAUAAAAUCCAUGUUUAUUUAUUUUUGACUUAUUAAUACCUCUGUGGAUUGAUAUUCUUGGUCCUUAAUUAUUCUUUUCAAUAAUAAAAAAAUGCAAUCGUUUUCUUAUCAUGCAGAGUGAAGCUGAUAAUAGAAGCCUCUGGCCAAGUGUCAUUGAAUAUGAAAUAAUGCUGGAACCCCAAAUCCAUUUUCCUGCCAUAUUCAUCUUGCUUGGAAGAUUCUGCAUAAAGUAGUUCCUCUUAGUGCAAAGCUAGUUAAGAGUGGCAUAUGAUGUUUUCUGUCCAAGAUGUGGUAUUGAAGCUAAAAUCCUUACUCAUGCAUUUAGACUGAGUUUGGGCUAAUGUUAAGACAAAAAUUCAGAAAACUGGAUUCGAGGUCAGUACCUCCAGGAGAGGGGAGAAACAGAGUAAGAGGGAAGCUUAGUAAUUUUUCAUAUCUCUUAGGAAUUACAAUUGCUUUAUUUAUACUACUUCCUUGCUAACAGAAUUUGUCAUUUAGCAUCAAGGAAUAUUUGAAAAUCAUUGGCCUUAUGAUUACAAUUGAGAUGUUGUCUCCCACGAGCAAAUAGCAAUUGCACGGUAAAUUCCAGGUCAGCUUUCCCUCAUAGAAGCUUCUUCAUACGUAGUCACUAAGGUAAGAGGGCCUUGUGAUGACCCUUUUUUCCUUUCUUGCUGUCUGCACCUCCCUGUUUGGUGUUUUCCCCUCUGUUUGUUGCUUUGUUGCAUCUUUACUUGUAACAUUCGUUGCCCCUUGGAAAAUCACCUUGUCCUCAAAGUGAUAGUCUUCCCGUAAUUGCUCCCACUGUUCCCAUGAAGUCUCGUCAGGUGAAAGGCCAUCCCAUUGCACCAAAACCUCCCACGGGGCCUGUUCAGAGGAUCUACGAUAGUCAAGAAUGGCAAGGGGAGUGAUGAUUGGUUGAUUCUCCAUGAAUUGCUUAGGGAGUGCUACCCUGUGUAUCUGGUCUGGGGGUCCCUUAAAGGCCUUCAGCAAAGAGCAGUGGAACACGGGGUGAAUGCGGGCUUCGUCUGGUAAUUUCAAGUGCUAUGCAGCAAGGCCGACCUUCUUAACAAUUUGAAAUGGUCCACAGAAUCUCUUAGUCAACUUGCAUGUGGCUGUCUGUGAGCCUUUUGCUGAACCCUGCCGGUGUGGUCGCAAUUUUAACAUUACCCAAUCGCCAAGUUGAUAAUUCACUUCCCUUCUCCUAGCAUCAGCCAUUGUCUUCAUGCCUUCCUGAGCCUUGAGAAGCUUUUUGCGAAUUGCUUGGACAGUCUCCUCUCUGUUUAUCAACAUAUCAUCCACUGCAUCUAAUGUUGAGGAACCCGCAAUGUACUCAGGAAAAUUAAAGGGUUUGCAGCCGAAUGUAAUCUCGAAGGGGGUAGCGUCGGUGACAGAGUUCCAUGAAGUGUUGUGGGACCAUUCCACCCAAAGAAGAAAUUUUCCCCAUUCCCGAGGUCGGCGGUGCAUGAAGGCACGCAAGCAUUGCUCAAUAACCCUAUUGAGGGCUUCUGUCUGGCCAUCACUUUGAGGGUGAUAGGCAGAACUCAUCCUGAGUUUAGUACCACUCCAGCAAAAUAGCUCUUGCCAGAAUUUGCUCACAAAUAAAGGGUCUCUGUCCGAAACAAGACUGCGAGGUAACCAGUGUAAUUUCCCAACGAUUUCCAUGAACAAUGAAGCCACUGCAUGCACAGUGUGAGCUGUUGGAAGCAUGCCAAUGUGUAUACCUUUUGAGAAUCUAUCCACUACUACCAGGAUCACGGUGUUUUCACGGUAGGGGGGUUAGGCCGCAGAUGAAAUCUAAGGAUAAAUCCUCCCAAGGUCGAUGAGGAACUGGUAACGAGCAGAGGAGCCCCGCGAUUCUCUUUGUUUCAUACUUGACAUGCUGACAAUCUAAACAUUGAGAGAUGAAGCGAGCCACAUCUUCACGAAGGCCAGGCCAAUCAAAGUUCUCCAUCAACCGAGCUACUGUUUUCGCGAUCCCCAUAUGGCCGCUAGUGGGAGUCGUAUGGUAUUCAACAAGCAAUGUUGGGAUCAGGUCCAAAUUCUUAGGUAACUAGAUACGCCCUUUGCGUAAGAUUAAGUUAUGGACCAGAGUGUAUUCAGGGUGUUUGGUGGGGUCAACAAAUAUCUCCUACCUACGAAGGCAAUAGUCAGGAUGUUCAUCUAGUUGCCGACGUAAUUCUUCCAGGAAGAGAGGACAAGGAACUGAGAGGUUCAUCAAUGAAGAGUUUUCUUGCUCGAAACACCUGGAAAGGGCAUCAGCAGCCUGAUUAUGAGCACCAGCACGAUAAUGGAUUUCAUAAUCAUACCCCAUUAAUCGAGCAAGGUAAGUAUGUUGUUCCAGUGUCUAAAUUGCUUGGGAAAGUAACUCUUUGAGGCUACGAUGGUCUGUGAUGAUGGUGAAACGGUGCCCAAGCAGAUACUGCCGCUACUUCUUCACGACGGCCGUAAUCGCGAAUAGCUCUUUGACGUAUGCUGAUGCUCGCAAUAAUUUGGGAGGAAAUUGCUUGCUGAAGAAGGCGAUUGGGUGGUUCUUUUGUGAAAGCACUGCCCCCAUUCCUAAUCCAGAGGCAUCAGUCUCAAUGGUGAAGGGAAGUGAGAAGUCCAGCAAGGUAAGGACUGGGGCCUGUGAUAGAGCCUGCUUCAGCUGAUCAAAAGCUGUCUGCGCAGAUGGGGUCCAAGCAAAUUCUGGCAGUGUAGUGAUGUGGACGAGGGGGGCCGCAAUGGAAGCAUAUCCACGGAUAAAGCGCCGAUAAAAUUCGACCAACCCCAAGAAGCUGCGCACUGCCCUUACUGUCUUUGGUGUCGGCCAUUGAUGAAUGGCCUCAACCUUGGAUGGUAGAGGCUCCACCCCUCUGUGUGAUACCAGGUGCCCCAGGUACUCCACCUGACUUUGCACGAAAAAACAUUUGGUCAAUUUUAAAACAAAUUGAUGAGCUUAUAACACGUGGAAUGUUAAUUCAAAAUGAAGUAAAUGAUCCUCAAAACAGGUACUGUAUAUUAAAAUAUCAUCAAAGAAUACAAUGAUAAAAUGGCGGAGAUAUGGCCUGAAGAUAUUGUUCAUGGUUGCCUGGAAUGAUGACGGGGUGUUGCAAAGUCCGAAGGGCAUUACUUUGAAUUCGUAAUGCCCGUGAUGGGUGCGAAACGCCAUUUUGGCCACGUCGUCGGAGUGCAUACGUAUCUGAUGGUAGCCUUGGAGGAGGUCUAAUUUGGAGAAGCAGUGGGCACCUCCCAAUUCAUCUAGGAGUUCAUCAAUAGUUGGAAUGGGGAAGCGGUCACGAACGAUGAUGGCGUUCAGGGCGCGGUAGUCAACACAGAACCACCAUGUUCCAUCGUGCUUCUUCACGAGCAACAUCGGGGAAGAAAAUGGGCUUGUACUUGGCUGUAUGAGUCCCUUUUGCAACAUUGUUUCAACUUGAGCUUCAAUUUCGCACUUCUGAAAGUGCGGGUAACGGUACGGUCUGACGUUGACCGGCGUGGAUUGGGGCAGAAGGUGAAUGUAGUGGUCUAUGUCCCUUUGUGACGGUAAGGUGUCAGGUGGGAGGAACAAGUGAGCAAACUUGAUAAGGAGAGACUGAAUCUCUGGGUGGAGGUCCUGUGUGUUGGAAGAAUCAUCAGGUAGAAGUGUGAUAUGGCAAUAUAGGCCCUAAGCUUGAGUCUUCAAGAUGCGUUGAAAUAGGGAAGGUGUAAUAAGGUUAAGGGCGCCAUCCUGAUCCCCCUUCAAUUCCACGAUUCAGCCUUGAUAGAAGAAUUGCAUGCUCAAUGUGUUGUAAUUGGUGAGAACUAGCCCCAAGGAUUUAAGCCAUUGAACACCAAGCACGAUGUUGGCACCAGAAAUAGGGAGAACGUGGAGGUCAACGAUGAACUGUGUUGACUGGAUGGUCAAGGAGACCAUCUCACACAAGCUUGUGCAUAAGAGCUGUUGGCCAUUUCCAACCAUGACCCGCAAGGGAAAUGGUGUUUCACGACAUGGUAGAUUCAAUUGUACCACCAACUCCUGCUGAAUAAAGUUGUGGGUGCUUCCUCCAUCCACCAACACCACUACUUGGUGGUUGGAAAUCGAGCCCAACAACCGCAAGGUUUUCGGGGCAGAGUGGCCCGCGAGAGAGUGAAAACUAAUUUUGUCCAGGUUUGGGUGAGGUGUGUCUACUGGGUCUGGCGGGUUGGGUGGGUCAAUAGGCACUAUACUAGAAGCUGGAUCCUCGUCUUCCCCUUCAGCGAUCAGAAGGAAAACUCUAGAGGCACAAUGGUGGCACGGCCAGGGGAUUUCGUCCGAAGACAAGCGCUUCAACAGUGUAGGUGCGGCGCGGCCAGGGGAUGGUAACAGUGAUGGAAGGGAGCCAGGUCGUGGUGAUGGGAUGGUUGGAGUGGGAGGUGGCGGUCCAAGGGAGACCAGAGUGACGCGCGGACUCGGUGGAUGGCGGUUGUCAAGGAGUUUUUCCUCUUGCAAGCGGGCCAACCCAACAACCUGAACCAGGGUUAACGGCUAAUGUGCUUGCACUUCGCGUCUGAUCUUCGGUGUGAGACCGGAGACGAAGAAACUAAGGAGGAAGGGCGAGGGCAACCCUAUCGUGCGAUUCGCAAGGUUUUCAAACUCUGCAAGGUACCGUGCCACUGACCUUUUUUGUGUCAAUUUGAAAAUCAUGCCUGUGGGGUCUUCGUACUGUGAUGGUGCGAAGUGUGUUUGUAAUGCUUGCAGGAACCUCGGCCAUGAAGUAAAUUGACCGUUUCCAGUCAUCCACUGGAACCACGCGAGAGCCCUACCCUCCAUGUAGAAGGAGGCGAUGGUGAGUCUCUCGUGUUCCGGUGUAUCGUGAUAUUCAAAAUAUUGGUUUAUUUUGAAAAUCCAGCCAAGCGGUUCAGUCCCAUGAAACCGUGGUACCUCUAACUUCAUUUUAUGGUUGUGUGUAGGGGCUGGGGAAGAAGGUGAGGGCGAUGGGGAGGAUGAUGGCAAGAGAAUGGGGGUGACCUUGCUGAGGAGCUCGUCAAUUUUCUGUGUCAAAUUGUUCAUGGAUUCUCCCAAGGAUAAUUGAUGAUUGGAUAGACGAAGCAGAACUUCAUCCAACUUAUCGGAAGAGCUCAUGGCGGAAGGAAAGAGCAAUGAGAGCACCAAAAUUGUUAAGACAAAAACUCAGAAAACUGGAUUCGAGGCCAGUACCUCUAGGAGAGGGGAGAAACAGAGUAAGAGGAAAGCUUAGUAAUUUUUCAUAUCUCUUAGGAAUUACAAUUGCUUUAUUUAUACUACUUCCUUGCUAACAGAAUUUGUCAUUUAGCAUCAAGGAAUAUUUGGAAAUCAUUGGCCUAACGAUUACGAUUGAGAUGCUGUCCCCCAUGACCAAAUAGCAAUUGCACUGCAAAUUCCAGAGAGGGAUGACUUUUCAGAAAAAGUUUGAAGGCCAAAUCUUAGACACUCAGAAUUAUUAUCCUCUUUCAAUGCUAUGACAUAUGGUAUGCUAUUUCUCCUUGAUAUUGAUACUGCCGAAGCUUUAAGAACGAGAGGAUCGAGUUACAGUUUGUGAGAGACCUGUUAUCAAUAAGGACUACCCAGGCUGAAUUGGAUUAUCUGAAUCUCAUCUCAGCUUUAAAAUCUAGAUUUAUAGUUCAAUCAUAUCAUAUUUUGUAAUUGUAAUCGUGGAUUGUAGAAACAUUAUUUCUUCCUUUCAAGAUUUUUUUACAAGGGAGGCUAAUCAAUAAACUCAUAUGUUGACUCAUUUUAAGACAAUUGCUGCAAGUUGUAUUUCUGCAGCAUGGGCUGGGCUCUUAUA